CGCACCUUUCGGGGUGAGUGGCGGACGGGUGAGUAACGCGUGAGAAUCUGCCUUUUGGUCGGGGACAACCACUGGAAACGGUGGCUAAUACCGGAUGUGCCUACGGGUAAAAGAUUUAUUGCCAGAAGAAGAGCUCGCGUCUGAUUAGCUAGUUGGUAGGGUAAAAGCCUACCAAGGCAUCGAUCAGUAGCUGGUCUGAGAGGAUGACCAGCCACACUGGGACUGAGACACGGCCCAGACUCCUACGGGAGGCAGCAGUGGGGAAUUUUCCGCAAUGGGCGAAAGCCUGACGGAGCAAGACCGCGUGAGGGAGGAAGGCUCUUGGGUUGUAAACCUCUUUUGUCAGGGAAGAAGAAAGUGACGGUACCUGACGAAUCAGCAUCGGCUAACUCCGUGCCAGCAGCCGCGGUAAUACGGAGGAUGCAAGCGUUAUCCGGAAUUAUUGGGCGUAAAGCGUCCGCAGGUGGCACUUCAAGUCUGUCGUCAAAGACCGGGGCUUAACCCUGGAAAGGCGAUGGAACCUGAAAGGCUAGAGAGAGGUAGGGGUAGAGGGAAUUCCCAGUGUAGCGGUGAAAUGCGUAGAGAUUGGGAAGAACAUCGGUGGCGAAAGCGCUCUACUGGACCUCAUCUGACACUCAGGGACGAAAGCUAGGGGAGCGAAUGGGAUUAGAUACCCCAGUAGUCCUAGCCGUAAACGAUGGAUACUAGGCG
rnacentral:rRNA from 1 species